UGAUUAGUGGCGAACGGGUGAGUAACACGUGAGUAACCUGCCCCUGACUCUGGGAUAAGCCCGGGAAACUGGGUCUAAUACUGGAUAUGCACCGUGGACCGCAUGGUUCUUGGUGGAAAGAUUUUUUGGUCAGGGAUGGACUCGCGGCCUAUCAGCUUGUUGGUGAGGUAAUGGCUCACCAAGGCGACGACGGGUAGCCGGCCUGAGAGGGUGACCGGCCACACUGGGACUGAGACACGGCCCAGACUCCUACGGGAGGCAGCAGUGGGGAAUAUUGCACAAUGGGCGAAAGCCUGAUGCAGCGACGCCGCGUGAGGGAUGACGGCCUUCGGGUUGUAAACCUCUUUCAGUAGGGAAGAAGCGAAAGUGACGGUACCUGCAGAAGAAGCGCCGGCUAACUACGUGCCAGCAGCCGCGGUAAUACGUAGGGCGCAAGCGUUAUCCGGAAUUAUUGGGCGUAAAGAGCUCGUAGGCGGUUUGUCGCGUCUGCCGUGAAAGUCCGAGGCUCAACCUCGGAUCUGCGGUGGGUACGGGCAGACUAGAGUGAUGUAGGGGAGACUGGAAUUCCUGGUGUAGCGGUGAAAUGCGCAGAUAUCAGGAGGAACACCGAUGGCGAAGGCAGGUCUCUGGGCAUUAACUGACGCUGAGGAGCGAAAGCAUGGGGAGCGAACAGGAUUAGAUACCCUGGUAGUCCAUGCCGUAAACGUUGGGCACUAG
rnacentral:rRNA from 1 species